rnacentral:rRNA from 1 species
GAUGAACGCUGGCGGCGUGCCUAAUACAUGCAAGUCGAGCGAACAGACGAGGAGCUUGCUCCUCUGACGUUAGCGGCGGACGGGUGAGUAACACGUGGAUAACCUACCUAUAAGACUGGGAUAACUUCGGGAAACCGGAGCUAAUACCGGAUAAUAUAUUGAACCGCAUGGUUCAAUAGUGAAAGACGGUUUUGCUGUCACUUAUAGAUGGAUCCGCGCCGCAUUAGCUAGUUGGUAAGGUAACGGCUUACCAAGGCAACGAUGCGUAGCCGACCUGAGACGGUGAUCGGCCACACUGGAACUGAGACACGGUCCAGACUCCUACGGGAGGCAGCAGUAGGGAAUCUUCCGCAAUGGGCGAAAGCCUGACGGAGCAACGCCGCGUGAGUGAUGAAGGUCUUCGGAUCGUAAAACUCUGUUAUUAGGGAAGAACAAAUGUGUAAGUAACUAUGCACGUCUUGACGGUACCUAAUCAGAAAGCCACGGCUAACUACGUG